AUUGAACGCUGGCGGCAGGCCUAACACAUGCAAGUCGAACGAGUGGCGGACGGGUGAGUAAUAUCUGGGAAAAUGCCUGAUGGAGGGGGAUAACUACUGGAAACGGUAGCUAAUACCGCAUACCAUCGGAUGUGCCCAGAUGGGAUUAGCUAGUAGGUGGGGUAAAGGCUCACCUAGGCGACGAUCCCUAGCUUGUCUGAGAGGAUGAACAGCAACACUGGAACUGGGACACGGUCCAGACUCCUACGGGAGGCAGCAGUGGGGAAUAUUGCACAAGGGGCGCAAGCCGGAUGCAGCCAUGCCGCGUGUAUGAAGAAGGCCGUCGGGUUGUAAAGUACUUUCAGCGGGGAGGCGUUACCCGCAGAAGAAGCACCGGCUAACUCCGUGCCAGCAGCCGCGGUAAUAC
rnacentral:rRNA from 1 species